CGAACGUUAGCGGCGCGCCUAACACAUGCAAGUCGAGCGAGAAGGAAGCAAUUCCUGUAAAGCGGCGCACGGGUGAGUAACACGUAGGUAAUCUACCUCGAAGUGGUGGAUAACCUUCCGAAAGAGGGCUAAUACAGCAUGAGACCACGGUUUCGAAAGAGAUUGAGGUCAAAGCGGGCCACUAUACAUAAGCUCGCGCUUCGAGAUGAGCCUGCGGCCCAUCAUGGUAGUUGGUAGGGUAAUGGCCUACCAAGCCGAAGACGGGUAGCUGGUCUGAGAGGAUGAUCAGCCACACUGGAACUGAGACACGGUCCAGACUCCUACGGGAGGCAGCAGUGGGGAAUCUUGCGCAAUGGGCGAAAGCCUGACGCAGCGACGCCGCGUGAGUGAUGAAGGCCUUCGGGUUGUAAAGCUCUGUGGAGGGGGACGAAUAAGGGUUGGCUAACAUCCAGCUCGAUGACGGUACCCCUUUAGCAAGCACCGGCUAACUCUGUG
rnacentral:rRNA from 1 species